GGACAACCUACACACCGCCACCAGACACAGAACUCUCGACACACUAAGACCGACACACCAUCACAAGACACACCAUCUCCAAACUACACUACAUUCACGCUCGACCUGACACACUAUCACCGGAUAACACGACAUUCACGCCGGGCCUGACACACCUCGGGAACGCUGCGGCUGUUGUUGCAGCAUGGCCGUACCCACCCAACCUAGAGUUCGACUGGCCUUUACUUUCGAACUCCCCUUUCUAGUCUUUGAAGCUGAAGAUUACGUUGAAGAACCCGGUUCACUGAAGAGCAUUAUCCAGCCCUACCGCACCUCCUCUGAAAAUUGUAAUCAGCACUCCAUAAUUUUUAAGUUCUGAACACCAAAAGUUGAUAAAAUCAAAAAAAAACACAACAAAUCGACUACACUGUAACGUGACUUACAUUUUAUUUAAACAGACUUGUAACAAACAAAAAUGGAAUAUAUAAAAAAAAUAUAAAGAAUAGUUUCGAAAUUUGAAAAUUAGAAAAAUUGUAAAUUUAAAAAAAAAUUGAAAUUUUGAAAUAACUUAAGUAUAAAAAAAAUCAAAGGAAAAUACAAAAUUUCUCCUCAGAAGUAUAUAUGUACCUAGUGUACCUAAUCCAAAAACAAACAAAAAAAAACAGGGACUUUCUCCGUAUGGAGGAGACUUAAGUUCCCUUGUUCUCCCCGGAAAUCUAUGCCGUCUUCCUUUUAUGAAGCGGCUGUACCAAUUCCUCUUUUAUCCUACCUACCAAGAGCUCUCUAUAGGUAGCUUAAGGGAUGCAAAAUGUUGCCUCUACUUUGACAGGGAGGGGUAUGGGGAACCUACGCCGCCCCGACGAACUCUACCCGUAAUGCUUACUCGACACUAACAAAAAAUAACGACGCACUCUAGACACAUAUACCGAUACAAGGAGUUACAAAAUAAAGUCGUUAUAAAUUUGAAUAUUUGUUGUUUCAAUGUCACGUUACUAAUUUUUCCUUUGUUAUUUGUUGGACAGCUAGGUAUACGUAUAUAUCUGUAUAUAUAUAAGCAAAUCCUAGAGUCGAUUCGCCAGGAACCGAAUCCUUUUUUCCUAUCCCGCCGGAUUGGCGUAAAGGGUAACGAGAACGCACAAAGAGAUAUAUAUAUAUAUAUAUAUGUAUAUGUAGUUAACACUUAUAUGAAUAUAGGGGUGAGAUUGGUUUUGGCUAGUAAAGUUACUUGGUGAUCCGGGUCUAUCGACGGAUCAAUCUUAUGUUCAGCACAACCUCCACAUCACCUUGGGAAUGAAAUUUUCUUUCUCUAGGACCGUCGCUCACUCCUACGCCAACCACCGCGCCGGCCGCCAAAACUCAAUCUCACUACAAUAUGUAUUUAUGAUUUUUUGUAUUUGUUCCUAUUAUAAUAUAACUAAAAGUAUCACUCACCCUCAGCUAUUAUUUUAAAUUUUUUUCCUCUUUAUGAAUUUAUCUUCUUUCUUUCUUCACUGAACAUACAUAUAUUAAUCGUUAAAAAAAACUUAUACAAAAAGACCUUUAAGAAAGAUAAAUUUAAUUUAAAUUCUUAACGCGUUAGACGGACAACGAACCUAUUUCCUUUUUUUUCUUACGUUUUUUUUUCACUUCUUUUGUUUUAUGCCACUUUUAAAUUUAAAUACAUACAUAGAUGCUUUCGUCACCCACUCUGAACUACAAAUGACUUCUAGUCAAGUUCCUUUAGCGGUUACGAUCUUCAAUUACCGCAAAGUUUAUUAUUUCCCGCAAUGUUCACAAAACUACUCUUUCAGCAUCGUCUGGACCCUUGCUUUAAAGCUUAAUUUCACUCCUAUCUAAUCCUUUCUUAUUUUCCCCACCUUUCCCAAUUCGCAUUAAACUUUUCAUUAAAUAUUUAAUAUUGUGGGUAUUGUCGUUCCUUUCAUACCUAUAAACAUAUAUCCGUCGCUUCUGCAAUUUCUUCGUCCUCCUUUUAUACCAUCUUCUUAAUCCCUAUUCUUUACUUCUGUCUCUUUUUCAUGACAUAUGUCUAUUUCGUCCCUAAUUGUCAUGUCAGAUUGUCAGUGAUUAGAAUUUGGAAAUAGAAGUUGCGUGCGCGGGUAGAUAAAUAAACAUAAAAAGAACAAGUCCUAGCAGAAACACCAAACUAAAAAAAAAUAAAAAAACUAAUUGGACUGGAUGCAAACCAGUCACUAGGAAUAGUGACUAACCUAGAACAACUCUGGCCUAUCGGUGGCCACAACAAAACUCCGGCAUCAGAAGUGCCGAUAUUUUCACAAGGAUGACGGUGAAGGCCGACGGCUGGUCGUAUCGAUUUAAUUGUGAAGGACCUAUGCCAAUCUAAUGCGAGUGCCAUUGCAUGUGGUGAAGUGCCUAAUCUGCUUAAGCCGGGCGGAGCAAAUGCAUUUCCUCCUUGUUGGUUUUGAGUGGGGAAGAACCCACACUGUUUGAGCCGGGCGGAAGAAAUAUGAUUCUUUCAAGCUGGUAUCAGGUGGGGAAGAACCCUCGAACAUUCAGCCGGGCAAAACAAGGCUACAACUAAAUUUCAGAGAAGAUUUAAACAUAAAUUAAAAUUCUUGGUACAGA